CGGUAUGCUUAACACAUGCAAGUUUAACGACGAAAGUCGUGACGUACGGGUGAGUAACGCGUGAGUUAUCUACACUUAGGAGAGGGAUAACAGAUGGAAACGUUUGCUAAUACCUCGUAAAGCUUUUUAGUUAAAGUUAAAGAUUUAUCGCCUAGGUAUGAGCUUGCGUCCGAUUAGCUAGUUGGUAAGGUAAAGGCUUACCAAGGCAACGAUCGGUAGUUGUUUCGAGAGAAAGGACAGCCACACUGGGACUGAGACACGGAACAGACUUCUACGGAAGGCAGCAGUGGGGAAUUUUUGGCAAUGGGUGAGAGCCUGACCAAGCAAUACCGCGUGGAGGAAGAAGGUUUUAGGAUUGUAAACUCCUUUUUUCAUUGAAGAAAAUAUGACGGUAAAUGAAGAAUAAGCAUCAGCUAAUUUCGUGCCAGCAGCUGCGGUAAUACGAGAGAUGCAAGCGUUAUCCGGAAUUAUUGGGCGUAAAGCGUUUGUAGAUGGUUUAAUAAGUUUAGUGUCAAAUCUUGAAGCUUAACUUCAAUACGGCAUUAAAAACUAUUAGUCUAGAGUGCGAUAGGGGUAAAGGGAAUUUCCAGUGUAGCGGUGAAAUGCGUAGAUAUUGGAAAGAACACCAACGGCGAAAGCACUUUACUAGGUUGUUACUGACAUUGAGAGACGAAAGCUAGGGGAUCAAAAAGGAUUAGAUACCCUUGUAGUCCUAGCUGUAAACGAUGGAUACUAAAUGGUGCUUUUUGUACUGUUGUAGCUAACGCGUUAAGUAUCCCGCCUGGGGAGUACGCUUGCAAAAGUGAAACUCAAAGGAAUUGGCGGGGACCUGCACAAACAGUGGAGCAUGUGGUUUAAUUCGAUGGUACACGAAGAACCUUACCAGGGUUUGACAUGUCAAGAAGUUUUCUGAAAGGAAGAUGUGCCUUUAUUGGAAUUUGACACAGGUGGUGCAUGGCUGUCGUCAGCUCGUGUCGUGAGAUAUUGGGUUAAGUCCCGUAACGAGCGCAACCCUUUUUUUUAGUUGUUUUCUAGAAAUACUGCCGGUGAUAAAUCGGAGGAAGGUGAGGAUGACGUCAAGUCAGCAUGCCCCUUAUGCCCUGGGCUACACACGUGCUACAAUGAUCAAUACAACGAGUAGCGAACUUGCAAAAGUAAGCAAAUCUCUAAAAGUUGGUCUUAGUUCGGAUUAUAGACUGCAACUCGUCUAUAUGAAGCCGGAAUUGUUAGUAAUCGCCGGUCAGCUAUACGGUGGUGAAUACGUUCUCAGGUCUUGCACACACCGCCCGUCACACCAUGGAAAUUGUCUAAACUCGAAGUAGUUUUCUUAUAGAUAAGCUACUAAGGUUGGGGUGGUAACUAGGGUGAAGUCGUAACAAGGUA
rnacentral:rRNA from 1 species